rnacentral:rRNA from 1 species
CCUACGGGGGGCUGCAGUUUCGAAUCAUUCACAAUGGGCGAAAGCCUGAUGGUGCGACGCCGCGUGAGGGAUGAAGGCCUUCGGGUUGUAAACCUCUGUCACUGGGGAAGAAACGCUUCAAGUUAAUAGCUUGAAGCCUGACUUAAUCCAGAGAGGAAGCAGUGGCUAACUCUGUGCCAGCAGCCGCGGUAAUACAGAGACUGCAAGCGUUAGUGGAAUUCGCUGGGCGUAGGGGGUGCGCAGGCGGCCGGAAAGCCCGGGGCUUAACCGCGGAAUUGCGCCUAAAACUACACGGCUAGAGCAUUGGAGAGGGUAGCGGAAUUCACGGUGUAGCAGUGAAAUGCGUAGAUAUCGUGAGGAACACCAGAGGCGAAGGCGGCUACCUGGACAAUUGCUGACGCUCAGGCACGAAAGCGUGGGGAGCAAAAGGGAUUAGAUACCCCAGUAGUC